rnacentral:lncRNA from 1 species
AAUAGUGGUUUAUAUCUAACAUGAUUACCUAUAACAUAUGACUUAUUUUGAACUUUAUUUACAAAUAAGACUCAGAAUCUUUUGUAUUACUAAUUAUAUGAGUAGCUAUACCAAUAUUAUAAUAACUGAAAAGCUCAACUAAAAUUGAGAAUAUUCCAGAGUUUGGGCUUCUAAUACUCUGGGACCUUCUAAAAGGUUAAUUAUUUU